rnacentral:rRNA from 1 species
AUUGAACGCUGGCGGCAGGCCUAACACAUGCAAGUCGAACGAGUGGCGGACGGGUGAGUAAUGUCUGGGAAACUGCCCGAUGGAGGGGGAUAACUACUGGAAACAGUAGCUAAUAGCGCAUACCAUCGGAUGUGCCCAGAUGGGAUUAGCUAGUAGGUGGGGUAAAGGCUCACCUAGGCGACGAUCCCUAGCUGGUCUGGGAGGAUGAACAGCCACACUGGGACUGAGACACGGUCCAGACUCCUACGGGAGGCAGCAGUGGGGAAUCUUGGGCAAUGGUCGCAAGCCUGAUGCAGCCAUGUCGCGUGUAUGAAGAAGGCCUUCGGGUGGUAAAGUACUGUCAUCGGGGAGGCGUUACUCGCAGAAUAAGCACCGGCUAACUCCGUGCCAGCAGCCGCGGUCCUUC